GACGAACGCUGGCGGCGUGCUUAACACAUGCAAGUCGAACGGUAAGGCCCUUUGGGGGGUACACGAGUGGUGGCCGGGGGAGUAAGACGUAAGUAACCAGCCCACACCUUUGGGACAACGAUAGGAACGUGGUGCUAAUACUGGAAAUGUGCUAUAGCUGCAUGGGGGGGGUUGGAAAGAUCUGGGGGGUGUGGAUGGAUUCGCGGGCUGAUUGCGUGUUGGUUGGGUAGUGGGGUACCGACGCGGCGACGGGAAGCCGGCCUGCGGGGGUGACCGGCCGCCUUGGGACUGAGGGACGGCCCAGACUCCUAAGGGUGGCAGAAGGGGGGAAUAUUGCACAAUGGGCGCCAGCCCGAUGCAGCAACGCCGCGGGCGGGAUGACCGCCUUCGGGUUGGAAAACGCUUUCAGCAGGGAACAAGGUUUUUGUGACGGUACCUGCAGAAGAAGCACCGGCUAACUACGUG
rnacentral:rRNA from 1 species